GAUGAACGCUAGCUACAGGCUUAACACAUGCAAGUCGAGGGGAAACGAUAGAGAAAGCUUGCUUUUUCUAGGCGUCGACCGGCGCACGGGUGAGUAACGCGUAUCCAACCUGCCCAUCACUUGGGGAUAACCUUGCGAAAGUAAGACUAAUACCCAAUGACGUCUCUAGAAGACAUCUGAAAGGGAUUAAAGAUUUAUCGGUGAUGGAUGGGGAUGCGUCUGAUUAGCUUGUUGGCGGGGUAACGGCCCACCAAGGCGACGGUCAGUAGGGGGUCUGAGAGGAAGGUCCCCCACAUUGGAACUGAGACACGGUCCAAACUCCUACGGGAGGCAGCAGUGAGGAAUAUUGGUCAAUGGACGAGAGUCUGAACCAGCCAAGUAGCGUGCAGGAUGACGGCCCUAUGGGUUGUAAACUGCUUUUAUAAGGGAAUAAAGUGGGAGUCGUGACUCUUUUUGCAUGUACCUUAUGAAUAAGGACCGGCUAAUUCCGUGCCAGCCGCCGCCGUAA
rnacentral:rRNA from 1 species